rnacentral:lncRNA from 1 species
UCUUCUCUCACAUAGUUGUUAUUUUUGGAAAUUCUGUUAUAUACAUAUUCAUUAUUUAGAUAAACUCAUCAUAGAUACCAGGAUUAAAAUUUUAUAUUUGUGCAAGACGCGCGUUUCGUCUACAGAACUCGAAUCGAAAAAUGCUAAAAAAGGUCAAAUAAAAAUGAAGUUGAAGAUCAUUGAGGACCUUAAAUUCCUUAGAGUUUUGUCAACUACGGCUAAGAUAAUCUUUUCAAGGAAUUUCUCUUUUAGAAAAAAUAUUCCUGGACUUUCUAUAACAUUAUCUUUUUUUAGAAACUUCUC